rnacentral:rRNA from 1 species
GACGAACGCUGGCGGCGUGCUUAACACAUGCAAGUCGAACGAAGAGCGAUGGAAGCUUGCUUCUAUCAAUCUUAGUGGCGAACGGGUGAGUAACGCGUAAUCAACCUGCCCUUCAGAGGGGGACAACAGUUGGAAACGACUGCUAAUACCGCAUACGAUCUAACCUCGGCAUCGAGGAUAGAUGAAAGGUGGCCUCUACAUGUAAGCUAUCACUGAAGGAGGGGAUUGCGUCUGAUUAGCUAGUUGGAGGGGUAACGGCCCACCAAGGCGAGGAUCAGUAGCCGGUCUGAGAGGAUGAACGGCCACAUUGGGACUGAGACACGGCCCAGACUCCUACGGGAGGCAGCAGUGGGGAAUCUUCCGCAAUGGACGAAAGUCUGACGGAGCAACGCCGCGGGAGUGAUGACGGCCUUCGGGUUGUAAAGCUCUGUUAAUCGGGACGAAAGGCCUUCUUGCGAAUAGUUAGAAGGAUUGACGGUACCGGAAUAGAAAGCCACGGCUAACUACGUG